CAGUAGCCGCGGGAAUACGGAGGGGGCUAGCGUUGUUCGGAAUUACUGGGCGUAAAGCGUACGUAGGCGGUUUUGUAAGUUAGAAGUGAAAGCCCGGAGCUCAACUCCGGAAUUGCCUUUAAGACUGCAUCACUUGAACGUCGGAGAGGUGAGUGGAAUUCCGAGUGUAGAGGUGAAAUUCGUAGAUAUUCGGAAGAACACCAGUGGCGAAGGCGGCUCACUGGGCGACUGUUGACGCUGAGGUACGAAAGCGUGGGGAGCAAACAGGAUUAGAUACCCCAGUAGUCCCUGUCUCUUAUAC
rnacentral:rRNA from 1 species